AUUGAACGCUGGCGGCAGGCCUAACACAUGCAAGUCGAGCGGAGCGGCGGACGGGGGAGAAAUGCCUAGGAAUCUGCCUGGUAGUGGGGGAUAACGUCAGGAAACGGGCGAUAAUACCGCAUACUAUCAGAUGAGCCUAGGUCGGAUUCGCGAGUUGGGGGGGGAAAGGCCUACCAAGGCGACGAUCCGUCACUGGUCUGAGAGGAUGAUCAGUCACACUGGAACUGAGACACGGUCCAGACUCCUACGGGAGGCAGCAGUGGGGAAUCUUGGACAAUGGGCGAAAGCCUGAUCCAGCCAUGCCGCGUGUGUGAAGAAGGUCUUCGGAUUGUAAAGUACUUUAAGUUGGGAGGCGUUACCAACAGAAUAAGCACCGGCUAACUUCGUGCCAGCCGCCGCGGUAAUUC
rnacentral:rRNA from 1 species